GAUGAACGCUAGCGGCAGGCCUAACACAUGCAAGUCGAGGGGUAGAAGGAGCUUGCUCCUUUGAGACCGGCGCACGGGUGCGUAACGCGUAUGCAAUCUACCUUGUACAGGGGAAUAGCCCAGAGAGAUUUGGAUUAAUGCCCCAUAGUAUAUAACCUUCGCAUGUUGGUUAUAUUAAAGUUCCAACGGUACAAGAUGAGCAUGCGUCCCAUUAGUUAGUUGGUAAGGUAACGGCUUACCAAGACGAUGAUGGGUAGGGGUCCUGAGAGGGAGAUCCCCCACACUGGUACUGAGACACGGACCAGACUCCUACGGGAGGCAGCAGUGAGGAAUAUUGGUCAAUGGUCGCAAGACUGAACCAGCCAUGCCGCGUGCAGGAAGACGGUCCUAUGGAUUGUAAACUGCUUUUAUACAGGAAGAAACCCUCCCACGUGUGGGAGCUUGACGGUACUGUAGGAAUAAGGAUCGGCUAACUCCGUG
rnacentral:rRNA from 1 species